UGUACUGAGUUAGACCAUUAGCACCUGGCCUCAGCUUUGGCUAACAAGAGAAGGGAGGGGGUUCAGCUUCCUGUAUGCAUUCUGAGCUUUGCCUGCAGAGUCUGCAGAGCUUUCUGCCAAGAAACAGAUAGUUCUGGAAUUCAGAACCAAACUGUCAUCUAGUCAAGUUUGAAACUAAGUGCUCAAGGGUGCUCUACAUUCUGGCACUAGAGUUAACCACAAUAUAACAAAUUGCAAAACAUUGUGAUCUCUCUUUCUCUCUCUCUCUGAAUUCAGUAUCUCUGUUUUAAUUUAUACUUAUAACUGGAAAUACCUUCAGUUCAUUCAGGUGCUAUAGUCCCUUGGAAGUUACUUCUCCUAUAGUAUGGAUCAGGAUUUGACAACUGGCAGACCAAUCUCUAGAUGUCUUGAACAGUAAUUCCUUAUUUUGUUACCUUCACGUGACACCUUAAUUGACACAUGCUCAUAGUAUCUCAUCAUCUGUUACAGAUACUAGUUCUUUUGGCUGGGGUACCCCAGUCAGAUAGGUGGAGUACAAAUAAUAAAAUUGUUGUUGUUGUUGUUGUUUUGCAUCACUGGCCACAAACCAGAUGAAGGCAGGCUGGAAGCUGCAGAAACAUUAUGCCUUGGGCUGUGUUCAGGAUGGCCACGUACACAUAACCAAAAAUAGAAGACAAAUGAGGACACAGAUUCGCAUAACACUGGAAUUAGGCAAUAUUUAUGUAGAGAUAGAAUUCUAGAACCAAUUACUAGAGAACUUAUUUAAAUCUCACUGAAGGCAAGCAAAUUAAUUUGCCAUUCAAAUCAAAAUUACCCCAAAUAAAAUAAAUGCCUCAGUUACUUGGGACCACACUUUGAGAUCACCCCACGUCCAGAUGACCCAGUCAUCCCUCUUUAGUUAAUUUACUCUCCAUUUAUUUCCCACCUAGAACCCUGCUCAAAAACCAAGUCUCCUUUAAUAAAUUACCAUUAUUCUUCACUGCCCCCACAUGUAUUAAAUUUAAUUAACUUUCUUAAAAAUAAAGGCAACCACCUCCCAGCCAGCUUGCGACAGCAGACAAAAAGAUAUUUCUGAACAGUGCUGGAACUAUCAGACUGUCCAUUCUGGAAGAGAAUGCCUAUCUAGGCUUAAUAGGUUUGACCAAUAUGGUGACUAUACCUUAUAUACCCUAUAUCUUAUAUCUAUACCCUAUAUCUUAGCAUAUCUUAGCCCUUAAGCACUUUACAUUCCCAAUGUUUUAUGAAUACCAAAAGCAUGUACUUCAAGUCCUUGCAGCUAUCCAUCACGGAAGAAGCCCUAACACAUUCAAACAUCACAUUACUGUAACUGAAAAAAAGAAAAAUUACUACCUGUGUUCAACAAGCACCAUCCCCAGAGGAUAAAUAUAACUUUGUAAAGAGCCAGGGUAAAGAGGCUAGAAUAUCCCCUUUAUCUGAUUAUUAGGUAGUACUGUAACUCCCCAAACCUUUCAAGUGAUCCUAGAUAGUUGUUACAGGUUAGCUGUCAAACAUCAUGCCAUAUAUUCUUCAUUGCUGGCUAGGAAACAGAGUCAUCUGGUUUCAAGGAAAUACUUUUGACAUGUAAUCUAGAGGUUCACUCAAAAUCAGUUAAGAAUAGCACUUUCACAAUCUAUAGCAUGCAAGUGAUCAUUAUUCCUCCUUUUUUGUUUGAUGUGAUGAUUAGAAAAUUAAUUAUGAGUCAAGAGCUGCCUCGUCAACAGUUAGCACUUGAGCAACUGGGGCCAAAGGCCUGGUGCUACCUGACAUUAGUUGCUCAAGUACUUAGAUAAGCAAAAAACAAAACACUUUUCUGGUAUGAGGUUGCUGGCUUACUCUUUAAACCAGAUUCUCAUGUGUCAAAUCCUGUCAAAGCCAUGUCAUGAAAUGUGACAUUCUCUUCAGGUAGUCUCCUCCUACUUUUUUGUUUUUACCUUUUGCUGGUCAAUAGGGGACAGACGUGCUUUGCCAAAGAUUCUGAAAAGACAUGAUUGUUUGUUUAUUACCUUAGCCCCUUGGGCCAAGGCAGGGGUAGGCAACCCAGAUGCGGCCCAAUCGCCUUCUCAAUCUGGCCCGCGGACGGUCCAGGAAUCAGCAUGUUUUUACAUGAGUAGAAUGUGUCCUUUUAUUUAAAAUGCAUCUCUGGGUUAUUUGUGGGGCAUAGGAAUUCGUUCUCUUUUUUUCUUUUCAAAAUAUAGUCUGGCCCCCUACAUGGUCUGAGGGACAGUAGACUGGCCCACAGCUGAAAAAGGUUGCUGACCCCUGGGUGAAGCAAUGACUUUCAAACAGUAAAUGCAAUAGGUCUGAAAACCAACAGAAGAACAAGCCAGGAACCAAAAAUACAUAGAUCAGCAACUGGCAAUCUUCCUGGCAGAUAUAUUGAGAGCACAGUCUUUUGUCCUUCCACGUUCCGUGGAAAUUAAAGGAGUUGAAACAGAUUCACAAAUUCACAACUUUGGACAACAGAAGAGUAUGACAAUUUAGGAAAGAGUUUGGACAGAAACCCUCUCUACUUCUGUUGAUAUAAACAUGCUCGGCAUCUCAAACCCCCUGCCACAGAUCCUUAAGUUCAGCCGACAGGAGCUGGAAAAGCAUUUUCCAGGAGACAGACGCCACCCCAUAUAAACGUCUCCCCAUAAAGAUAGAAUCGCACAAACACUGGCAACAAUGGAGAAGGCUCAAACCAAAUUCACACAGGGACAAAACCAUAAGCGGAUCCAAAAUUAAUCGAACUUGAUCUAAUCAGUGGCUCGUUGGAGAAUACGAGUUGUUUCUCUGUUUUUACAAAAUUCAGAUUACAAACUCCAGAGAUGAGGGGAGGAAAGUGAUGCCCCUUGUCUUAGCAGCCUUUCAGCAAAGAGAGCUGGUAGCUAUUUUGAGUCCUUUGUGAAUAAAUACGUACUGGCAAUCUGAGCAGAAUUCAUGACACCUUUAAAGCAAUGUGUUUUAUUUCUUAAAGGCCUAAAGGAACUUUCAUUUUGGUCAAUGUAAGAAGCAUACAAGUGCAAGAGUUUUACAUAAGAGCCCAUUGGAUCUGGCCAAAAGCCCACCUAGUCCAGCAUCCUGUUCUCACAGGGGCCAACCAGAUGUCUGUGGGAAGCCUGCAAGGCAGACAUGAGCACAAGACAACAGUUUCCCCGCUUGUGAUUCCCAACAACAGGCAUUCACACGCACACUGCUUCUGAAAGGGGAGGUAGAACAUAGUGGUGUAGCAUGGGGGUGAGGGGGGCCCAUGGCCCCAGGCACAAAAUUCUGAGGGGACACAACCCAGCACCCCCACAACAGGCUCUCUCACUGAAGUUGCUUGGCUGCUGCCUUCCAGAGCUGUGGGGAGGUGAGCCUCACCAGAUCUGGGCCUUCGAGGCUGUAGCGACAGCUCCUUCUCCUCACAGCCAGCAAAGGAAUGCCUGCCCCUGGGCGGAACUCCUGCUGGCCAGAGCCCAGACGCUUCCUGGCCUGUGUCAAUCCUUCUCCGUGGCCUCCCUCCUGGUGUGUGUUCUUGGGUAGGCACCCCAGAGUGGGACUGCAGAAAGAAGAGCAGACCACUUCUCCAGGACCCUCUGACACCCGCCCUCGAACUGUGCAGCCAAGGAGAGAUGGCCACAGAAGGGCUGCACUCAGCGCCUCAGCCUGCUCUCUGCUGCCCUCCUCCUAGACUGCAUCUGUGGCUCCAGUGCCACCGGGACUCCACCAAGCCUGCCAAGGAGCUCCAGCCACUGUCCCAUCAGAAGCUCACCAAGCUGAGAAACUGAAUGCAGGAGCCAGCAGGCAAACUCCAUGAGAAACAGCUGUAGCAGGGGUGCAGUGAGAAAAGCCUGUCCUACAUGACAUCCUCAAUGAGGUUAGGGUUUGCAAUCCUUUCCUUGCCCAGGCGCUGGCAAUGCAUGCUAUGACACUGAUAGAACAUAGCCAUUGUGGCUAGUAGCAAUUGAUAGCCUUAUCAUUCAUGCAUUUGUGUAAUCAUUUUUUUAAAGCAAGAAGGGUAGCUAAAUUCCACUGAGUGGGCCAGCUCACACAAUUGUUUAGGUUUCAUGAACUGGAAACCCCAAAGGAAUUGCUAGAUAUAAAUAAAUGGAGCCAGAAAAACUUUUUGACCCUUCCCUUUCCCAACAAUAUGGUACAAGCCUCUAAAUCAGGGGUCAGCAAACUUUUUCAGCAGGGGGCCAGUCCACAUCCCUCAGACCUUGUGGGGGGCUGGAUUAUAUUGGGGGGGGGAAUGAAUGAAUUCCUAUGCCCCACAAAUAACCCAGAGAUGUAUUUUAAAUAAAAGCACACAUUCUACUCAUGUAAAAACGUGCUGGUUCCCGGACCAUCCAUGGGCCGGAUUUAGAAGGCCAUUGGGCCGGAUCUGGGCUCCGGGCCUUAGUUUGCCUAGCCAUGCUCUAAAUAACCUAAAUAGCUUCCCUCUGCUCUUUGGUGUGAAAAUUGGGCUCGAAUCGACACCCAAUGCCAGCAUGCUUCACUAUUUGCAGGUAAUGCUAUGUUCUAAAUUUCUAUGGAUAAACAUUGAAGAUUCACACACUUAUAGCACCAUCUUAAAACCAGUGAUGUGCAAGUAAUUCCCACCAGUUUAUCCUAGGUUUGCCUGUAUGCCUGAUUUGAACAUGUUUUGGAAUUUUCAUAUUGCAAAAUUAUAUUUGAGUCCUGUCCUUUAGCACAGAGCUGGAAAUGUGAAAAGCAGUAGCUGAAAAAUAUAAUGUAUUUACAUCACACUGGAUGUACACUGGAGCAAUGUAGAAUGUGCCAAUAUGAUUUUUUCUGCCAAUAUGUGCAACACCAUUCAUAUACAGCAUGUGAUUCGCCCAUAUCUGCCAAGAGAAUGAAUAUGCAACCAUUUUGUGUUCUGUGGAUGGGUAUUGUGUGAUUUAUGAAGAAUAUCCUGGAAGGCUGAAAUGCUCCCCCGUUGGAUAAAGCCAGCACUAGUAAAAUAUAAAUUGCAGCUAUCUGUUUCAGUGCCGCUUCAUUACAGUAAUUUGUUACCACCCGUGAGCAUGGACAGCUUUUACAAUUACCAAAUUAAGAAAGCAAGAUAAACAAAACAACACAGUUUCUGAUGCAUUAUUGAAAUGGUGCUCAAAAUACAUUCCUUCCUUAUCUUUGAAGGAGAGAAAGCCUAGAAACAAAACAAAACAAAAUGUUAACUGGUUCUUAAGGACUGAAUACUAUUUGUGAGCAGCACAGGGGAUAACAUACGUGGAGGCAAAGAGCCAUGCUGCAAAGUAGCAUAUCCACAAUUGGACCCCUGCAGGUGAAAAGAUCACGACACUGGGGGUAUAGUACCUGAACAUUUCAGAACACUGUGUAAAUGAAUAUAGUAGCCAACAUACAAAUGCCUUUUUAACAGAAGCAGCAGUGUGUGUGUUAAGGAACUGUUCCCAUUUCGUAGAAGGGUAAAUGAUAGUUUACCAUUUCCAUUGUAAAGACAUUGAGGAUGAGAGAAAAUGCCACACCCAAAGGCCACUCUGUAGAUUCAUGACGCAGAUUCUUACAGUAUGUUCAGAAUUUAAAUAGACAGUCACACAAAGAUGGAUUUCUUCCUGUCAAAACCCUGUGGUUUUUGAACUUAUGAACACACUGUUAUUCUGAGAUGAGUGUGUGAGAGAGACAAGAUCAUGGAAAAACUAAAACCAAGUAGAUAUGAGAAACCCGCAAGAAGGAUAAGAGCACAACAACAACAACACCACUCUGGCCAUUUAUAAGCCAGGAUUUCCAGUGCUGUAGGGACUUUAAAACUCAUUCAGCUGAACACAUGUGGAAGCCCCUUCUAGAUCUUUGCACGCACUUUUAACUUCAGCAUGUUCAGGUAAACACCUAAAGAGGGCUUAUGAUGAAAACUGGCUCAGGAAACAGUCAGUGCAUCACAGGGGCAUUAUCUUCCCUUUUGUCUUUAGCCCCAUUGUUACUCUUCUUGACCUUAUGAAAUAGGCUUCAAGGCAAUAUUAGCAAGGUAAAUGACAUGUUAAGGACAUUACACUGUAAUUUAUGGUAGAAUGGAAACACUGCUCUAUGUGAUAAAUGCAGGAAGAAGCAGGGAACCAACUAUGUCUUCUUACAUCCUGAGAGUAGAGCUGUGCCCAUUGACCCAACCCUGCCAUCGCACCCACUACUGGCUCAGUCCCACUUCCAUCCAUGCAUGGGAGGGAAAGUAUGUAAAAGGAACCCUGUGUGGCACAUAUAGGCAUGAUCUGACUUCCAAAUCAUG